rnacentral:miRNA from 1 species
ACUACGUGAUGCGAUCUGAUG